rnacentral:rRNA from 1 species
UAUAAAGUCUAACCUGCCCAAUGAAAGUUGAAUGGCCGCGGUAUUUUGACCGUGCAAAGGUAGCAUAAUAAUUAGUUUUUUAAUUGAAAGCUGGAAUGAAUGGUUGGACGAGAAAGCUGCUGUCUUAAUUUAAUUAAUUGAAUUUUAUUUUUAAGUGAAAAAGCUUAGAUUUACUUAAAAGACGAGAAGACCCUAUAGAGUUUUAUAAUUGUUUAUAUAGCUAUUUUUUAGAAGUUAAUUGGUUACUAUAUUAAGAAUUAUUUUGUUGGGGUGACAGAAAAAUUAAUUUAACUUUUUUAUUGGUUUUGCAUUGAUCUAUGUUUUAUUGAUCCUUUAUUUAAGAUUAUUAGAUUAAAUUACCUUAGGGAUAACAGCGUAAUUUUUUUUUAGAGUUCUAAUCGAAAGAAAAGUUUGCGACCUCGAUGUUGGAUUAAAAUUAAUAUUUGGUGCAGUUGCUGGAUAAUUAGGUCUGUUCGACCUUUGAAAUUUUACA